rnacentral:tRNA from 1 species
GUCAGUUUGGCCGAGUGGUUAAGGCGAUUGACUCGAACAUAUAGGAUGAAAACCUGUUAAUUAGGACUUAACCAGUUAACUAGGUUCGCCUACAUCUUCAUCAAUCAAUUGGGUUCGCCCGCACAGGUUCGAAUCCUGUAGCUGACG